UAACUUCAAAACGUUGUGUUCCGAAAUA
rnacentral:sRNA from 1 species